CAGUCGCCACGGUAAUACAGAGGGUGCAAGCGUUAAUCGGAAUUACUGGGCGUAAAGCGCGCGUAGGUGGUUUGUUAAGUUGGAUGUGAAAUCCCCGGGCUCAACCUGGGAACUGCAUCCAAAACUGGCAAGCUAGAGUAUGGUAGAGGGUGGUGGAAUUUCCUGUGUAGCGGUGAAAUGCGUAGAUAUAGGAAGGAACACCAGUGGCGAAGGCGACCACCUGGACUGAUACUGACACUGAGGUGCGAAAGCGUGGGGAGCAAACAGGAUUAGAUACCCCUGUAGUCCCUGUCUCUUAUAC
rnacentral:rRNA from 1 species